rnacentral:rRNA from 1 species
CAAUGGGCGAAAGCCUGACCCAGCAACGCCGCGUGAGGGAUGAAGUAUUUCGGUAUGUAAACCUCGAAAGAAUGGGAAGAAUAAAUGACGGUACCAUUUAUAAGCUCCGGCUAACUACGUGCCAGCAGCCGCGGUAAUACGUAGGGAGCAAGCGUUGUUCGGAUUUACUGGGCGCAAAGGGCGCGUAGGCGGCGCGGUAAGUCACUUGUGAAAUCUCUGAGCUUAACUCAGAACGGCCAAGUGAUACUGCUAUGCUAGGGUGCGGAAGAGGCAACCGGAAUUCUUGGGGUAGCGGUCAAAUGCGUAGAUAUCAAGAGGAACAACUGGGGCGAAGGCGGGUUGCUGGGCAGACACUGACGCUGAUGCGCGAAAGCCAGGGGAGCAA